UGGAGCUGUUGUAGCCUCGGUUGCCCGGCCAGGGACCCGAGCCGAACAGUUAUCAUCAGAAUGUCGGGCAAAGACCGAAUUGAAAUCUUUCCCUCGCGAAUGGCACAGACCAUCAUGAAGGCUCGUUUAAAGGGAGCACAGACAGGUCGAAACCUCCUGAAGAAAAAAUCUGAUGCCUUAACUCUUCGAUUUCGACAGAUCCUAAAGAAGAUAAUAGAGACUAAAAUGUUGAUGGGCGAAGUGAUGAGAGAAGCUGCCUUUUCACUAGCCGAAGCCAAGUUCACAGCAGGUGACUUCAGCACUACAGUUAUCCAAAAUGUAAAUAAAGCCCAAGUGAAUAUUCGAGCGAAGAAAGAUAAUGUAGCAGGUGUUACUUUGCCAGUAUUUGAACAUUACCAUGAAGGAACUGACAGUUAUGAACUGACUGGUUUAGCCAGAGGUGGGGAACAGUUGGCUAAAUUAAAGAGGAAUUAUGCCAAAGCAGUGGAACUACUGGUGGAACUAGCUUCGCUGCAGACUUCUUUUGUUACUUUGGAUGAAGCUAUUAAGAUAACCAACAGGCGUGUAAAUGCCACUGAACAUGUCAUCAUUCCCCGGAUUGAACGUACUCUUGCUUAUAUCAUCAAAGAGCUGGAUGAGAGAGAGCGAGAAGAGUUCUACAGGUUAAAGAAAAUACAGGAGAAGAAAAAGAUUCUAAAGGAAAAAUCUGAGAAGGAUUUGGAACAAAGGAGAGCAGCUGGAGAGGUGUUGGAACCUGCUAAUCUUCUAGCUGAAGAGAAGGAUGAGGAUCUUCUGUUUGAAUAAUCUUUCCUGUUCUGGUUCUUUUAGAAACCCUAACAUUGGUUUCAUUUUAAUUCAUAGUGUGUAGGUUUGAUUUGUCUGGCUAUUUUUUGGCCUAAGAAAUUUGGUUGUAAAAUUUACCUGGAUGUCUGUUUAUGGGAUUACUUUUGCAGAAUCAUAAUUUAGCAACCAUUUAUCAUGGAUGAAAGAGAUCUGUAAAACCUGCCCAGGAACUUAAAGAAUUUACUCUGAAGCGUUAUCCUACUCCAUUUACAUCUGUGUUACACGUGCUGUGCUUACCAAGCAUAUUAGGAAAUACCUCUUAGGAAGCAUUAGUGGUCUCAGGCCAAUUACUGUGGAGCAGCUUUCAUUCCUACCCUCUUGCAAACCUUGGCGCUGUUGUCUGAAAUUGCUGCAGCCAUUCUUGUGUUACCAUGGUACUUCUCAAACUUUGUGAAAACCUGCACUUUUCCUUGCAUGACAGGUCCCUGUCUUGUCUGUCAUGGGAGCAGUUCUGCCAAUUUAAAUGUGACUGUGGUAUAAACGUAUAAACAGAGUAAAAUGAUUUAAAA